rnacentral:rRNA from 1 species
CACGUAGGGUGCGAGCGUUGUCCGGAAUUAUUGGGCGUAAAGAGCUCGUAGGCGGCUUGUCACGUCGGGUGUGAAAGCCCGGGGCUUAACCCCGGGUCUGCAUUCGAUACGGGCUAGCUAGAGUGUGGUAGGGGAGAUCGGAAUUCCUGGUGUAGCGGUGAAAUGCGCAGAUAUCAGGAGGAACACCGGUGGCGAAGGCGGAUCCCUGGGCCAUUACUGACGCUGAGGAGCGAAAGCGUGGGGAGCGAACAGG